rnacentral:rRNA from 1 species
UACGAAGGGGCUAGCGUUGUUCGGAAUUACUGGGCGUAAAGCGCACGUAGGCGGACUAUUAAGUCAGGGGUGAAAUCCCCGGGCUCAACCCGGGAACUGCGUCCGAUACUGGCAGGCUUGAAUCCGGGAGAGGGAUGCGGAAUUCCAGGUGUAGCGGUGAAAUGCGUAGAUAUCUGGAGGAACACCGGUGGCGAAGGCGGCGUUCUGGACUGUUUCUGACACUGAGGAACGAAAGCCAGGGGAGCAAACGGG